rnacentral:rRNA from 1 species
AUUGAACGCUGGCGGCAUGCCUAACACAUGCAAGUCGAACGAGUGGCGGACGUGUGAAUAAUGUCUGGGAAACUGCCUGAAGGAGGGGGAUAACUACUGGAAACGGUAGCUAAACCCGCAUACCAGUAGAUGUGCCCAGAUGUGAUUAGCUUGUUGGUGGGGUAACGGCUCACCAAGGAGACGAUCCCUAGCUGGUCUCAGAGGAUGACCAGCCAAACUGGAACUGAGACACGGUCCAGAAUCCUACGGGAGGCAGCAGUGGGGAAUAUUGCGCAAUGGGCGCAAGCCUGAUGGAGCCAUGCGGCGUGUAUGAAGAAGGCCUUCGGGUUGUAAAGCACUUGUAGCGGGGAAGCGUUACCCGCAGAGGAAGCACCGGCUAACUCCGUGCCAGCCGCCGCGGUAAUAC